rnacentral:tRNA from 1 species
GCGGGCGUGGCGGAACUGGCAGACGCGCAUGGUUGAGGGCCAUGUUCCAGAUAAUGGAGUGGAGGUUCGAAUCCUCUCGCCCGCA